rnacentral:rRNA from 1 species
GGCGGCAUGCCUUACACAUGCAAGUCGAACGGUAACAGGGAGCUUGCUCCGCUGACGAGUGGCGAACGGGUGAGUAAUAUAUCGGAACGUACCUUUGAGUGGGGGAUAACUAGUCGAAAGAUUAGCUAAUACCGCAUACGAUCUACGGAUGAAAGCGGGGGAUCGCAAGACCUCGUGCUCAUAGAGCGGCCGAUAUCUGAUUAGCUAGUUGGUGAGGUAAAGGCUCACCAAGGCUUCGAUCAGUAGCUGGUCUGAGAGGACGACCAGCCACACUGGGACUGAGACACGGCCCAGACUCCUACGGGAGGCAGCAGUGGGGAAUUUUGGACAAUGGGGGCAACCCUGAUCCAGCAGUGCCGCGUGAGUGAAGAAGGCCUUCGGGUUGUAAAGCUCUUUUGUCAGGGAAGAAACGGGGAUUCCUAAUACGAGUCCCUAAUGACGGUACCUGAAGAAUAAGCACCGGCUAACUACGUGCCAGCAGCCGCGGUAAUACGUAGGGUGCAAGCGUUAAUCGGAAUUACUGGGCGU